AGUUGAGUGUGAAGACCUGAGGUAUCAGGGGUAGGGGUUGCUCUGCUUGUGUAAGUCCCAUAGUGUGAAGGCCAGAGAACCAAGAGAUGGUCAAGAAGAGAGAGUAAGUGUCCAAUGUCCCAGCUCAAGAAGAGAGACAAGACCAACCCCGCCUCUUCCUUCUCCUUCUCGACCUACUCAAAGUAAAGAUGAGGAUGAAGACCCUUAAGAUGAUCCACUCCCACUUAAUGAAUAGAGCAUCACGACCUGUGCAGACUCCCCAGCAUCAUAACAGGAAGGUCCCACGAUCACGAGCACAUUGCCUUCAGCAUCCAGCACUGAAUAUGGUGAAUUGCACUCUGAAGAGCUUCCUAAGCUUGUAAGAAAGUGAUUCUGAAAAGCUCAACAUUUUGGUAGAAUGGAGAGAUUUGACAUUGCUUCUGCUCCAAAAGCAAAAGACUUGGGAAGGGCACCCUGGGAGUUGAGAACAUCCACCACAGAGAGGCCUGGCGUAAAGGAGAUGGGACUCACACCCAAGAGGAUGCAUUUCCAUACACCCAUUUCUGAAAUAUGAAGAGGUGUCCAGUCUGUUUGAUUCAUAGCUGCCUGUUCCACAACUGCAGAUACAGUAAUUGAUAACCGAGACCAAGUUCUCAUCCCCAUCUCCCAGGGCUGGAACUGGGGCUGUGUUUGGUUCUCAUAAGAUCAGUUCCAGUUUUAGAAACUGAGUAAAUUGUGGAGUAAAUAUUGCCAAGUGAUGGCUUUCUGCUGUAGGCGUGGGUCGCUGUUGGCCAUUUGCCUCAGCAUAUCACCAGCAAUGCACCUCAUUGCAUCACUGCAUUUCCAAUUACACCUCAAAGCACCACUGGUCCCCUGUCCACCCUCUGCCCUGCAGAGGUGGGUGUUCAGGGAGACAGAUCCAAAAUCUGGGCUCAGAAGAUGGAAAUGCCAACUGCUCUCAAUUUGAGAGUGGGGAUGAGACUUUUUGACUCAACUCUGGUUAAUUCAGCCAUGCUGUCAGAGCUGCUUUGAUGCAAGGACAUCUGAAUGCUAUCUGAAUGCUGCCCCUAAAAUAACAAAUUAAAAACAACAACAACAACAAAAA
rnacentral:lncRNA from 1 species